CACCCUGGUCUCUGCCUCUCUGGAGGUUUCUCUUUCCCUCGUGAAACAGAUUCUUCUAGAACCCCUUCCAAUUUUCACGUUGUUGGCCCUUCCGCUCUCCUCCCCGGCGACCGCUGGAGUUGAGUUGGACGGAGUGUCACGUCCCAGUUACGGUCUCAAUAAAGCAGAUUUGGAUUUGAUAUUUCCCCGGCGUCACUCCUUCGUUCUAGAUCUGGCGUGCAGCGGUGCAGGCUGUUGGAGAAGGAGACAUGGAGGUGGUUGCUGCCGUAUCCAAGUUUGACCUCGACGCGGGCGCGAAGACCCGGUUGGCCAUGGGGCACGCGGAUCGGGAUGACAAGGUUCGGCGGCUCCGGGCGCUCAGACAUGGGCACCGGUCGCUCUUGCUGCGCGCACGCUCCGAUGUUCAAGUUGUUGUCCUCCGUCUUGUCUGGUAGCACGGCUGGUGCGGGACGAAGGAAUACGACAGCCUUCUGGCGGGUCGCUCAUCCAGUACAACACCCCGCCGACGCAGGCGAGCAGCGUGUCGUCCGCCACUGGCAGGGGCGGCGGCGGCACCGCGUACUCCCGGGAGUGGUACCUGAAGUCGUCGCACUGCAGCACCGCGCACAACUGCACACCGCGAAGUACUCGCGAGCAGGGCCGGUCCUGAGGGCACUCCGCGCGCGCAGUCUCCUCGGCCUCUACUCCUUCUCUUCCCCGAGAUUGGCGGAAAAUCAGGCAGGCUUUUCUGAUUGUUCAUUUGUUCGUGAAGGCAAGGUCUUGCGUGAAGGUCAUCCUCCUACAUCGCUGUGUCAAGCACUCUGAUUGCUCGUGUUGAUUGGAGUUAGAAAAGAGGAACCCAGAUUUUUGUCCGUGAACUGGCCCCUCUGUGUUACUUGCCCCGGGCCCCCGAAAUUUCUUGACACCGGCCCUGCUCACGAGAGCCGAAAUCCCUGGAGGCUGGAGUGGUAGAUGAUCUAACGCGACAGUGGGUCGAAAGUGAGGUAGACGCUCGUGCCGCCGGUUUCGAACGCGUGCUGCCGGUCGGCUCCUUGUGUCCUCCAGUGGCUUCCAUUGAGGUAGGCUUUGUGGAGGCAUGUGUAUGGGUUGUAGUCUGUAGAGUUAGUCGUGCGUCGGUGCUCACCAGGUUCAUCCUGUGGCGCAUUUCUUGGAGGAGAUGCGGUCGACAUGUAUGCUGGGAGCACGCUAAUGGGGGCACCUAAAGUGUUCGACGGAAUGGCUAUCACAUUGGUGCUUUCCCAUCUCACCUCACCACCACGUGAGCAAAACCACCUACCAGAGCAUCGGGGUUGAUUUGUCUGGUUUUAGAAAGUAGAGGGGAUUAAGAUCCCUGUUUUAGAGGUCAGGGCCUCAGGGGGGCUAUGUGGCCAAAAUGUAAUACUUAUGGGGUCAUAUACACUUUUUUUUCUUAAAUCUAAUAGGUUUCUUCCUCAGUGAUAUCCCAAAUUAUCCCACCAAGAAAGAUGGCCGCGUCGUCCUGGCCUGCGCUCCCGGCCACCCGGCGGGAUGUCCAGGCUGUCGUUGCCAAGGACGUGGAGCUGUACUGGCCUCCAUUGGUGCACCGUGCCCAAUGUCAGUGCUGGAAGAAAAAAAAAUGGCACAUCUUUAUGAGCGCAGGGAGUUUCCCUACCCUGGUGAUGAAGAGGCAGUUGAGGAGUUCAUAAAAAGUGGGGGUGCUCUAGGUACCACGAUCGGGCCCAAAGGUUUUGCGGAUACAAA